AUAAAAAUGUUUAAGAUAAUAAUUUUUAUGGUACAAUUAUCUACUAGUGAUUGAGUGGUCUGAUUGUUCUCUCGCUUGUUAGAUUCGUGAGGGUCAGUUGUUCCCUCUGUUGGAUGCUAAUGAUGAUCGACCCAUUGGACGUCAGAUAAAAAUACAAUUGACCUAAGGAACAGUGAGUACUGCCACGUGCAGAGUGUGACUCUUUCCCUAACCAAACGUUUUGUAGUUUGUGCUUUUUGCGCUGUACUCCCCCCUUGGAUGUGUGACUGUGUUUUGUAGUUUGUGCUUUUUUGCGCUGUACUCCCCCCUUGGAUGUGUGACUGUGUUUUGUAGUUUGUGCUUUUUGCGCUGUACUCCCCCCUUGAAUGUGUGACUGUGUUUUGUAGUUUGUGCUUUUUGCGCUGUACUCCCCCCUUGCAUUUGUGACUGUGUUUUGUAGUUUGUGUGGUUUUUGCGCUGUAUACUCCCCUCUUGCAUGUGUGACGGUGUUUAGUCACUAGCAAUAGUUUUACGUUCCCGUGAGUGGGUUCAAUUCACUAGCAAUAGUUUUACGUUCCCGUGAGUGGGUUCAAUUCACUAGCAAUAGUUUUGCGUUCCCGUGAGCGGGUUCAAUUCACUAGCAAUAGUUUUAAGUUGCCGUGAGUGCAUGGGUUCAAUUCACUAGCAAUAGUUUUACGUUCCCGUGAGUGGGUUCAAUUCACUAGCAAUAGUUUUGCGUUCCCGUGAGUGGGUUCAAUUCACUAGCAAUAGUUUUGCGUUCCAAUAGUUUUAAGUUGCCGUGAGUGCAUGGGUUCAAUUCACUAGCAAUAGUUUUACGUUCCCGUGAGUGGGUUCAAUUCACUAGCAAUAGUUUUACGUUCCCUUGAGUGGGUUCAAUUCACUAGCAAUAGUUUUGCGUUCCCGUGAGUGGGUUCAAUUCACUAGCAAUAGUUUUGCGUUCCCGUGAGUGGGUUCAAUUCACUAGCAAUAGUUUUGCGUUCCAAUAGUUUUAAGUUGCCGUGAGUGCAUGGGUUCAAUUCACUAGCAAUAGUUUUACGUUCCCGUGAGUGGGUUCAAUUCACUAGCAAUAGUUUUACGUUCCCUUGAGUGGGUUCAAUUCACUAGCAAUAGUUUUGCGUUCCCGUGAGUGGGUUCAAUUCACUAGCAAUAGUUUUGCGUUCCCGUGAGUGGGUUCAAUUCACUAGCAAUAGUUUUAAGUUGCCGUGAGUGCAUGGGUUCAAUUCACUAGCAAUAGUUUUACGUUCUUGUGAGUGGGUUCAAUUCACUAGCAAUAGUUUUGCGUUCCCGUGAGUGGAUUCAAUUCACUAGCAAUAGUUUUACGUUCCCGUGAGUGGGUUCAAUUCACUAGCAAUAGUUUUACGUUCCCGUGAGUGGGUUCAAUUCACUAGCAAUAGUUUUACGUUCCCGUGAGUGCAUGGGUUCAAUUCACUAGCAAUAGUUUUACGUUCCCGUGAGUGGGUUCAAUUCACUAGCAAUAGUUUUACGUUCCCGUGAGUGGGUUCAAUUCACUAGCAAUAGUUUUACGUUCCCGUGAGUGGGUUUCAAUUCACUAGCAAUAGUUUUGCGUUCCCGUGAGUGGGUUCAAUUCACUAGCAAUAGUUUUACGUUCCCGUGAGUGCAUGGGUUCAAUUCACUAGCAAUAGUUUUACGUUCCCGUGAGUGGGUUCAAUUCACUAGCAAUAGUUUUACGUUCCCGUGAGUGGGUUCAAUUCACUAGCAAUAGUUUUACGUUCCCGUGAGUGGAUUCAAUUCACUAGCAAUAGUUUUGCGUUCCCGUGAGUGGGUUCAAUUCACUAACAAUAGUUUUGGUUUUUGCGCUGUACUCCCCCCUUGCAUGUGUGACUGUUUUUUGUAGUUUGUGCUUUUUGCGCUGUACUCCCCCCUUGCAUGUGUGACGGUGUUUUGUAGUUUGUGCUUUUUGCGCUGUACUCCCCCCUUGCAUGUGUGACUGUGUUUUGUAGUUUGUGCUUUUUGCGCUGUACUCCCCACACUCACACACACACACACACAGUGAAGGAGCCUCCAUCACAACGCCAGCGAUAUUUCCAUAGUCAUGAUGAGACACGCUGUUUCUUAUAAUCAUGGACACUGAUGGGACAAGUUGAAGAUAAUUAUUGUCAAGAAAGUAAACACAAGCCCGGCCCGUUACCAAGGAAACAUGACAACAUUGAUCAUCAUUGAAAAUUUUUAGCCUAUGCAGUCAUAAAAAUUAAUAUUGUUGUAUUUUUUAAUCUC